rnacentral:rRNA from 1 species
GACGAACGCUGGCGGCGUGCUUAACACAUGCAAGUCGAACGGAAAGGCCCUGCUUUUGUGGGGUGCUCGAGUGGCGAACGGGUGAGUAACACGUGAGUAACCUGCCCUUGACUUUGGGAUAACUUCAGGAAACUGGGGCUAAUACCGGAUAGGAGCUCCUGCUGCAUGGUGGGGGUUGGAAAGUUUCGGCGGUGGGGGAUGGACUGGCGGCUUAUCAGCUUGUUGGUGGGGUAGUGGCUUACCAAGGCUUUGACGGGUAGCCGGCCUGAGAGGGUGACCGGCCACAUUGGGACUGAGAUACGGCCCAGACUCCUACGGGAGGCAGCAGUGGGGAAUAUUGCACAAUGGGCGGAAGCCUGAUGCAGCAACGCCGCGUGCGGGAUGACGGCCUUCGGGUUGUAAACCGCUUUCGCCGGUGACGAAGCGUGAGUGACGGUAAUGGGUAAAGAAGCACCGGCUAACUACGUG